rnacentral:lncRNA from 1 species
AGGGAGAUGUUGCGGCAUUUUCUGGAGACGGGGUUCAAAUGGAGAAAGGGAGAUGUUGCGGCAUUUUCUGGAGAACGGGGUUCACAAUGGCGAUCGCGAGUAAUCGUCAGGCGACUGGGGUUCAAACUGGAGAAUGGGGCUCAUUAUUUUGGCAAACAGGAGAGCGGGGUUCAAAUGUGGUGAUUUGAGGAUCAGUUGCGUAGAGAAAAUUUCGGGGUUCAAGAAAAUAAAGAAGGAUUAUCGGAAGAAUUUCGGGGUUCAAAAAAAAAGCAUAAAAAAGAAAAAAG